rnacentral:rRNA from 1 species
UCCUGGCUUAGGACGAACGCUGGCGGCGUGCCUAACACAUGCAAGUCGAGCGGAGGAUUCGAGAUGUUUACAUCGAAGGAUCCUUAGCGGCGGACGGGUGAGUAACACGUGGGUAACCUGCCUCAGAGUGGGGGGAUAGCCUUUCGAAAGGAAGAUUAAUACCGCAUAAGAUUGUAGCGUCACAUGGCGCAGCAAGAAAAGGAGCAAUCCGCUUUGAGAUGGACCCGCGGCGCAUUAGCUAGUUGGUGAGGUAACGGCUCACCAAGGCCACGAUGCGUAGCCGACCUGAGAGGGUGAUCGGCCACAUUGGAACUGAGACACGGUCCAGACUCCUACGGGAGGCAGCAGUGGGGAAUAUUGCACAAUGGGCGAAAGCCUGAUGCAGCAAACCGCCGCGUGAGUGAUGAAGGCCUUCGGGUCGUAAAGCUCUUUGAUCAGGGAUGAUAAUGACAGUACCUGAAAAACAAGCCACGGCUAACUACGUGCCAGCCGCUGC